rnacentral:rRNA from 1 species
UACGUAGGGUGCGAGCGUUGUCCGGAAUUAUUGGGCGUAAAGGGCUCGUAGGCGGUUUGCCGCGUCGGGAGUGAAAACACCGGGCUUAACUCGGUGCUUGCUUUCGAUACGGGCAGACUAGAGGUAUGCAGGGGAGAACGGAAUUCCUGGUGUAGCGGUGAAAUGCGCAGAUAUCAGGAGGAACACCGGUGGCGAAGGCGGUUCUCUGGGCAUUACCUGACGCUGAGGAGCGAAAGUGUGGGGAGCGAACAGG